AGUGAACGCUGGCGGUAGGCCUAACACAUGCAAGUCGAACGGCAGCACAGUAAGAGCUUGCUCUUACGGGUGGCGAGUGGCGGACGGGUGAGGAAUACAUCGGAAUCUACUUUUUCGUGGGGGAUAACGUAGGGAAACUUACGCUAAUACCGCAUACGACCUACGGGUGAAAGCAGGGGAUCUUCGGACCUUGCGCGAUUGAAUGAGCCGAUGUCGGAUUAGCUAGUUGGCGGGGUAAAGGCCCACCAAGGCGACGAUCCGUAGCUGGUCUGAGAGGAUGAUCAGCCACACUGGAACUGAGACACGGUCCAGACUCCUACGGGAGGCAGCAGUGGGGAAUAUUGGACAAUGGGCGCAAGCCUGAUCCAGCCAUACCGCGUGGGUGAAGAAGGCCUUCGGGUUGUAAAGCCCUUUUGUUGGGAAAGAAAAGCAGCAGGUUAAUACCCCGCUGUUCUGACGGUACCCGAAGAGUAAGCACCGGCUAACUUCGUG
rnacentral:rRNA from 1 species